rnacentral:rRNA from 1 species
AUUGAACGCUGGCGGCAGGCCUAACACAUGCAAGUCGAGCGGAUGAAGGGAGCUUGCUCCUGGAUUCAGCGGCGGACGGGUGAGUAAUGCCUAGGAAUCUGCCUGGUAGUGGGGGAUAACGUCCGGAAACGGGCGCUAAUACCGCAUACGUCCUGAGGGAGAAAGUGGGGGAUCUUCGGACCUCACGCUAUCAGAUGAGCCUAGGUCGGAUUAGCUAGUUGGUGGGGUAAAGGCCUACCAAGGCGACGAUCCGUAACUGGUCUGAGAGGAUGAUCAGUCACACUGGAACGGAGAAACGGUCCAGACUCCAACGGGGGGCAGAGGGGGGGAAUAUUGGAAAAGGGGGGAAAGCCUGAUCCAGCCAUGGCGGGGGUGUGAAGAAGGUCUUCGGAUUGUAAAGCACUUUAAGUUGGGAGAAAGGGCAGUAAGUUAAUACCUUGCUGUUUUGCCUUUACAAACAAAAAAAGCACCGGCUACCUUCGU